UUCCGGUUGAUCCCGCCGGAGGCGACCGCUUUUGGAGUUCGAUUAAGCCAUGCGAGUAGAAUGAAUUAGAUCAUUGCGAACUGCUCAGUAACACGUGGAUAACCUGCCCUAUGCUCUGGGAUAACCUUGGGAAACUGAGAAUAAUACCGGAUAGAUCACAACGCCUGGAACGGUGUGUGGUUGAAAGGUCACGGCAUAGGAUGGGUCUGCGGCGUAUCAGGUCGUAGGGGGUGUAAUGGACCUCCUAGCCAUCGACGCGUACGGGUUGUGGGAGCAAUAGCCCGGAGAUGGAUUCUGAGACACGAAUCCAGACCCUACGGGGUGCAGCAGGCGCGAAAACUUGGCAAUGCGAGAAAUCGUGACCAGGGAACUCCAAGUGCAUCGGGUAAGACCGGUGCUUUUCUUGACUCUAAAUAGGUCUUGGAAUAAGGGGUGGGUAAGGACGGUGCCAGCCGCCGCGGUAAUACCGGCGCCUCAAGUGGUAGUCGCUUUUAUUGGGCCUAAAACGUCCGUAGCCGGUCUGAUACAUUCGUGGGUAAAUCAACCAGCUUAACUGGUUGAAUUCUGCGAGGACGGUCAGACUUGGGACCGGGAGAGGUGUGGGGUACGCUCAGGGUAGGGGUAAAAUCCUGUCAUCCUGAGCGGACCACCUGUUGCGAAGGCGCCACACUAGAACGGAUCCGACGGUCAGGGACGAAGCCUAGGGGCACGAACCGGAUUAGAUACCCGGGUAGUCCUAGGUGUAAACGCUGUGGACUUGAUGUUGGGGGUGCUCCGAGCACUCUCAGUGUCGAAGCGAAGGUGAUAAGUCCACUGCCUGGGAAGUACGGUCGCAAGGCUGAAACUUAAAGGAAUUGGCGGGGGAGCACCGCAACCUGAGGAUUGUGCGGUUUAAUUGGAUUCAACGCCGG
rnacentral:rRNA from 1 species